rnacentral:lncRNA from 1 species
CAUGAUUUCAACAAUAAAAUAUACAACUAAAUUCUGAGUAAGGUAUAGACAGGUGAAUAUAUAGAGUUGAUAAUAUAUUCCACAAAGAGCAAUAGAAGAUUGAGAUAGACAUGGUAGUGCCGUGAGGUUUAAAGACAUAUAGAAACCUGAAUUUGGAUGUCGUUGCAAUUACUGGAUGUUGCCAGAAGUUGAUGGAAAUCGACAAAAAUGGUUGGAAGUCGCCGGAAGUCCAUGGAAAUCGAUAGAAAUGGUUGGAAGUCACCGGAAAUGGAUGGAUGUGGCCCUCUCUAUCUUUAUUGGACUGAUGUAUGUUGCCGGAUAUCCCCGGAGAUCGCCAAAAAAAGGCCGGACGUUACCAUACGUAGCUGGAAGUCGCCCUAUCUUUUCUUUACUGGAUAGAUCUGUUAUGGAUCUGUACCUACCACACUUUCCGGCAAGAACACUGCCGAUGAUGGUUGUAUCUUGCUGGUUGUGAGAGAGGAGAAGGGGAAAAGAGAGAGGAUAAUACAAAAGAGAAAGAGAUCGAG